AGUUCAGCGUGAGCGCUCAGGUCACUCCAUCUGCCUGCUCUCUCUCUCUCUGCUUGAGAUGCAUUGUAAUCACCCCCUUGCGUUUGGAUCAUGUCAAUAUCUCCUUGCAAUUGGGCAAUUUUAAAAAGCAAACUUUUUGGAAUACCUGCUAUUUAGUAGCCGUCAGACUGCAGCCAUUCCCUACAAUAACCUCUGAGGAAAUUUAGGACAAGGAAACACAGGAUACUGGCUCCAGAAUAUCUUCUUAAGUGGAAGACAAAAACAUGGAAUGAUGCUAAAAAUUCCAGGACUGCUCCCAUCCUACAGCUUGCUCUCCCGAUAACUUCCCUGGACAGCUGCUCCUACCCUCUGUCCUCUGUCCAUUGCCAGUGAUGGCAUGAGCCUUGCUCUAAGGCAGACCCUAUGUGAAGUCAACUUUUAAGAACAAUCAGAAAUGACCUUACAGGAUAAAGGUUCACACUAACAACGUUCUUUUCAGGUAGAUUUCAAGAGCAUCCUCUUCUGUAAACAUUCCUCCUCACUGCAACUAGAAGUGAGAGUCUUCUGUUUCACAGUCCUGUGGCAAGUGGCUUUUAUUUUCCUUAUGGUAUUUAGGAUCAGUGAGGUCUUGAAGAUCAGAGAGUAAUUCAUCUCUGACUACCACUUCCUAUGCCUCCCUGCUUCCAUCCCAGCUAAUAAAGAAAUGGUUUUGAAUGAAUUAAU
ensembl:lncRNA